rnacentral:rRNA from 1 species
GAACUUAGCAGAGAUGCUUUGGUGCCUUCGGGAACUCUGAGACAGGUGCUGCAUGGCUGUCGUCAGCUCGUGUUGUGAAAUGUUGGGUUAAGUCCCGCAACGAGCGCAACCCUUUAUCCUUUGUUGCCAGCGGUUAGGCCGGGAACUCAAAGGAGACUGCCAGUGAUAAACUGGAGGAAGGUGGGGAUGACGUCAAGUCAUCAUGGCCCUUACGAGUAGGGCUACACACGUGCUACAAUGGCGCAUACAAAGAGAAGCGACCUCGCGAGAGCAAGCGGACCUCAUAAAGUGCGUCGUAGUCCGGAUUGGAGUCUGCAACUCGACUCCAUGAAGUCGGAAUCGCUAGUAAUCGUGGAUCAGAAUGCCACGGUGAAUACGUUCCCGGGCCUUGUACACACCGCCCGUCACACCAUGGGAGUGGGUUGCAAAAGAAGUAGGUAGCUUAACCUUCGGGAGGGCGCUUACCACUUUGUGAUUCAUGACUGGGGUGAAGUCGUAACAAGGUAAGCGUAGUGCU